rnacentral:lncRNA from 1 species
AGAGGGAGAAUCCCGACCUUACUCCAGGAACUGUAUUCGAAUCGAUGGUGGAGUGUCAUAAUGCAGUGACUACAUAUUGCAUUGUCACUGAAAACUCUUAUGAGGUUGAUAGGAGUGAGCCAGGAAGAUUCACUAUUCAUUGCCCUUAUGAUAGGUGUAGGUUGCAUGCAUCCACUAUGUGAAAGAGCAAAUUGAUUCAGGUAUUACAACUAAAUAUUAAUUGUACUAUUUGUUAAAUGUAUUUGACAUCAUUUUUCACCUUGU